UAGGGAAUCUUCCACAAUGGACGCAAGUCUGAUGGGGCAACGCCGCGUGAGUGAAGAAGGUUUUCGGAUCGUAAAGCUCUGUUGUUGGUGAAGAAGGAUAGAGGCAGUAACUGGUCUUUAUUUGACGGUAAUCAACCAGAAAGUCACGGCUAACUACGUGCCAGCAGCCGCGGUAAUACGUAGGUGGCAAGCGUUGUCCGGAUUUAUUGGGCGUAAAGCGAGCGCAGGCGGAAUGAUAAGUCUGAUGUGAAAGCCCACGGCUCAACCGUGGAACUGCAUCGGAAACUGUCAUUCUUGAGUGCAGAAGAGGAGAGUGGAACUCCAUGUGUAGCGGUGGAAUGCGUAGAUAUAUGGAAGAACACCAGUGGCGAAGGCGGCUCUCUGGUCUGCAACUGACGCUGAGGCUCGAAAGCAUGGGUAGCGAACAGGAUUAGAUACCCUGGUAGUCCAUGCCGUAAACGAUGAGCGCUAGGUGUUGGGGCACUUUCC
rnacentral:rRNA from 1 species